AUGUUUUUUGAGGUUUCUCCCCCUGCCAUCGAGCGGGAGAGAAGGAGUGGGUUCGAGGGAACCCGCCUGGUCGUUUUUCGUGGGACCCGGGGAGGUCGCAGAGGAGUGAGUGGUCGAGAGGAGGUCCGGCAUCGCUCUCCACCAGGGCCCCCCUUCGACCCUGGGCUCGUGAGGGACGGAUCGGAACUGCCGUCUCUCCAUCACGGACAGAGAAGGGGGAGGAAGCACACGUCUGUCGUUCCUGAGACCGUUCACGUUACGUCUGCCGAGCCUGUGUCUUUGGACAAGACGGCCGCGGAAACAUUCUUGGACUAUUUUUCUGUGCUGUCCAAGAUCCUAGAGAUUCCCAACAGUGUUCAUGUCACGGCUGCUGAGCCAGCACCACAGUCCAGGAUGGUAGCCAACCCAGCGCCACAGCACAAGAUGGCCGCCAGCCCAGCGCCACAGCACAAGAUGGCUGCCAGCCCAGCGCCACAGCACAAGAUGGCAGCCAGCCCAGCGCCACAGCACAAGAUGGCCGCCAGCCCAGCACCACAGCCCAAGAUGGCCGCGGAGACAGUAUUAAGUUACUUUUCCAGGAUGUGCCAGAUCCCAGAGUUUCCCAGGAGGGUUCACAUCACGGCCGCUGAGCCAGCGCCAAUGCCCAAGAUGGCCACCAGUUCAGCACCACAGCACAAGAUGGCCGCCAGCCCAGCGCCACAGCACAAGAUGACCGCCAGCCCAGCACCACUGCACAAGAUGGUCGAAUCUACACCUGUGUUGGCAGACAAGAUGGUUGACUCAACGCCUGAGUCUUCCGUCAAGGAGCCACCGGCACGCCAUCAUAGAGGCCGCAGGAGGAGGAGACAGGCGUCAGCCGUUCCUCAAAGCCCGGAGGACGUUCCCGAGCAGGCCGCUGCCAUCCAGGAGGACGUUCCCGAGCAGGACAUUCCGGAGGCCGAUGCGGUGGCCGAGGUGGUUCCCGAUGCAAUGUCCGAUGCCGAGGCAGUGCCCGAUGCCGAGGCGGUGCCCGAGGCGGUGCCCGAUGCCGAGGCGGUGCCCGAUGCCGAGGCGGUGCCUGAUGCGGUGGCCGAGGUGGUUCCCGAUGCAAUGUCCGAUGCCGAGGCGGUGCCCGAGGCGGUGCCUGAUGCAAUGACCGAGGCGGUGCCCGAGGCGGUGCCCGAGGCCGAGGUCGAGGCGGUGCCCGAUGCAAUGGCCGAGGCGGUGCCCGAUCCGGAGGCCGUUCCCGAUGCGGUGCCCGAGGCAGGGUCCGAGGCCAUUCCCGAUGCGGUGCCCGAGGCGCUGUCCGUUGCGGUGCCCAAGAUGGUUCCCGAGGUCGAGGUACUUCACGUCUCCACAGGCCGUCCAGAGCACCUUCACGUCUCCACUGGGACACCGGAAGGGCAGGUUCCGCUCUGGUCGCUCAAGUGGCGAGUUCCUCCCUGGCCGUCUGCACAACUAAGAUGGACUGAUCCUCCGUGGCCACCUGAACUGCCGGGUCCCUCGUGGUCCCCUGAACUUUCGGGUCCACCCUGGCCACCUGAACUGCCUGGUCCCUCGUGGUCCCCUGAACUUUCGGGUCCACCCUGGCCACCUGAACUGUCUGGUCCCUCGUGGUCCCCUGAACUUUUGGGUCAACCCUGGCCCCCUGAACUGUCUGAUCCACCUUGGCUGCCGGUGGAGCCAUUACGGCCGGUCCCUGUUCUCCUACACGGGCCUGGCCCGCCAUCCCUCCCCCUGUUCUACCUCCACCAGUCCACCUCCCUCCUGGUCUUUUUGAUUUGUUUUUUUUUUAUCUGGGGAGCAUCUGGAAGCUGCUCCUUAGAGGGGGGGCUAAUGUCACAGUGUCUGUUCUGUGUCUCCCUGGGUGGCCACUAG
ensembl:lncRNA